GUGCCAGCAGCCGCGGUAAUACCGGCAGCACAAGUGAUGGCCGAUCUUAUUGGGCCUAAAGCGUCCGUAGCCGGCCGGACAAGUCCGUUGGGAAAUCCACGCGCUCAACGCGUGGGCGUCCGACGGAAACUGCACAGCUUGGGACCGGAAGGCUCGAAGGGUACGUUCGGGGUAGGAGUGAAAUCCCGUAAUCCCGCACGGACCACCGAUGGCGAAAGCACUUCGAGAAAACGGAUCCGACAGUGAGGGACGAAAGCCAGGGUCUCCAACCGGAUUAGAUACCCCAGUAGUCC
rnacentral:rRNA from 1 species